CGGUUUGUAUCUUGGUUCUCGCAUACUAUUGAAAAUCCUUUCUUACCUUUUUCCUUUAUGAUUAACUUUAUGCUACUUAUUUCUCAUUUUAAAUAGUUUCACAUUUCAUUCUCUUCUUGAAAUGUGUUUGAUAUAGACCUUACUUUAUAUGCUUAAUUUUACUUGUGGAUUGUGAUAAGUUAGUUAUCUGAAGUAACAUAUUACAACAUUUCAUAAUGCAGGAUUGAAUUCUAUGCAGAGUUCCUCUGUGAUUGACUUGAAAACAUUUGACACUCCUGUGGAACCAAUAAAUGUUAAACCCCCUAUUAAACCCCCACCUCUCAAAUCAUUCGACGAGGAAGAAAUUCCAAAGAAGCCAACUGCUGUCAAGAAGACUGUCGCCGCUCCCGCAAAUGUGAAAGCAUAUUCUAUAGCUGACCUGCAGAUUGCUACUUCAAGCUUCAGUGUGGAUCAACUCCUUGGUGAGGGGUCUUUCGGACGUGUAUACCGUGCACAAUUCGAUGAUGGAAAGGUACUCCUUACCGCAUUUUUACUUUACAAGUCCAAUUCUAUGUCUUAUUCUGCGGGCAAAGAUAUGGAAAAUCCAAAAAUAAUGCCAUGCUCUUAGGAAAUGUCUUAAAAGUGACUCACCUGAGUCUUUCUCAAUAUAUAUAAGCAUGCUAAUACACUUGAUGAUAUAUGUCAAAAACUGUUAACAUAUCUUCUGAAUCCAUGCAGAGGCUUAUUGAUGGUUUUGACUUUGUCAUGAAUUGUUGUAGGUUCUUGCAGUAAAGAAGAUAGAUUCAUCUAUCAUUCCCCAUGAUUCAUCCAACGAUUUUGUGGAAGUAGUCUCAAACAUCUCCCAUUUGCAUCAUCAAAAUGUGACAGAGCUUGUUGGUUAUUGUUCGGAGCAUGGACAACACCUCUUGGUCUACGAGUUCCAUAAAAACGGGUCGCUGCAUGACUUCCUUCACCUACCUGAUGAGUACAGCAAACCAUUGAUAUGGAACUCUCGUGUCAAGAUCGCUCUAGGGACAGCUCGCGCCUUAGAGUGAGUUAGUUGUUUGCAAGUGUAAAUAGAAUAAUGACCUCUUAUUUCUUUCCCCAAAAGUCAAUAACCAACCUCUUCUUUCUCUUUCUUUAAGGUACCUACAUGAAGUUUGUUCGCCUUCGGUUGUUCAUAAGGAUAUUAAGUCAACCAACAUAUUGCUUGAUUCAGAUCUUAACCCUCAUCUUUCAGAUUGUGGAUUGGCAAGCUAUAUUCCAAAUGCAGACCAGGUGAUUUUAAUUUUUGGAACAAAUAUGCUGUGAAUUUCAGUUUCAAAUGGAUGCACUCUUAAUGAAUGCAUUUUUUCCUUUUAUCUUGUGUCACACGGCUUACAUAUGAAAAUUAUUAGUUCUAAAUAUCGUCUCAUGUUCAGGUAUUGAACAAUAAUGCUGGAUCGGGAUACGAAGCACCGGAAGUUGGUAUGUCCGGUCAGUAUACGCUUAAGAGUGAUGUCUACAGCUUUGGAGUUGUCAUGUUGGAACUUCUUAGUGGAAGGAAACCGUUUGACAGGUAAUUGAUGCAUCUUUUAGGUGGUUACUCGUGAAAAUGUCUUCAUGGGAAGAUGAUAGCUGAGAUGUAAACACGUGUUAUGUCAAGUAGUUUAGUAAAAAAUGUCAAACUAUCUAACAGUUUUCAACUAUUAUUUUCACAUGAAGACAUCUUCAUGUGACUAGUUUUAACAUUCGCAUGCUCUCCAAAAUCAACAGCGCAUUUAGUAACAUAUAUAGUUUAAUCUAUAAUAUAAAACCCUUCAAAGUAGUUAGGGUAGGUAGAUGCACCAAUUUCUUUUGAUAUUAUUUGUAUUUUGUUGUUUAAAAAACUCCCUCGGCAGCUCAAGGCCAAGAUACGAGCAGUCUUUGGUACGGUGGGCGACACCACAACUCCAUGAUAUCGAUGCAUUGGCUAAAAUGGUUGAUCCUGCGCUGGAAGGGCUAUACCCGGUUAAGUCGCUGUCCCGUUUUGCCGAUGUUAUUGCACUUUGUGUUCAGGUAAUGUCACACAUAUAUGUCUCCUUUUUGUUGUCUUAACGACCAAAUAAACUACAUAUAUUCAUGUGCGUCUAUGUGUAUGUGUGUCUUUGUGUCUGUGCCUUGUUGUUUUGAGAGAGUAAACAAACACAGCCUAAGUUACUGGUUUGGCUACGACGCACUUUAAAAAGAGGUGGGUACUCCAAUGAAGACUAUAAUUGUCUUUAUAUGAAGAUGCUUCCUUUUGACAAUCGGGUGAUGGAUUGUAGGGUUUUGAUUUUAGCAUGUUAUAAGAGCGUUGCCUUUAUCUAAAAGCGUUGAUAUUUCCUUUAAAUCGUUACUUUUUCUUAUAAGUCACGCUUUUAAAGUGUAACUAAACAAAUAUCUUAGUGGAAGGAUGUUUUUGACAUAUUGGAGUAGAUGCCUUAAAAAGAAAAAACAGCCUAAAUGUUAGGGUGAUCCAAAUGCCAAAACUCAUGUCAAAGGGAGGAUUUAUAUGUGCUUUUAAUGUAUUUAUCAUGUCAGGAAAAGUAACUACAUGAUUGUUGUAAUAUAAUGUAAUGAUUGUUUUGGCAGCCGGAGCCGGAAUUCCGACCACCGAUGUCGGAAGUGGUUCAAGCAUUAGUUCGGUUAGUGCAGAGAGCAAACAUGAGCAAAAGGACAUUUGGGACUGAGCAAGGAGGAACACCAAGAGCGGGUGAUGAGCCUGAUACACCAGACAUGUAAAUUUUAUUGCAAAUAAUAAGAUCAUUGUGUUUAAUAAAAUGUCUUAAAAAUGGAAAGGAAAAACAAAAUAAUAUUAUUCUCUCUUUCUUUGAAUGUACCUUCUAGUAUUGUUUGAGGUUGAACAAUUUUUUUCAUGUAAUAUACAGCGGUAGUCCUUUCAAUUUGUUGGUAAUAUAAAUAAUUAUAUUAUUUUGCACAAUUCAAGCUUUGUUUUAUCUUUUAUUAUUUUCUUUUUUUAUUAUUAUUUUUUUUGUAAAUUUAUUUAUAAGACGAAGUAUAGGGAGUCAAUGGAGUAUCUGUACAAUAUGUACAAUGGGAAUUUAGAAAUGUUCGAUUCAGUAGGAUAGCAGAUGUUUAUUAUCCCUAGUACCCGGAUGGUUAUUCUGGAUAGUAUGGGUGUAUUGUGUUUGAGAAAUUAGUAGUAUUUUAUCUUGAAUGUUUAUUUUUUAACUCAUAUUGGACCAAAUAAAUAAAAUAAAUAGUUCAUUGUAUACAUUGUACAAAUACUCCAUUGGCUUUUUAACGGGAUUCUAUUUAUAAUAUACAACAAUUAAUAAGUCAUGAUAAGGUAAGAAGUUUACCGUGAUAACACACACUACCGAUACUAAUUCAAAUUACGCACGUUUUCAAUGUUUUUCCGCUCUCAUUCUGAAAUACUUUCUUCAGCUCUCAUUCCAAAACUGUUUCAUCUUCAUAUUCAAAUUUAAAAUCUAAAAUCGUUUAACAAUUAGAAAUUUCUCAAAUCAGAGUAUUACUUUUUUUUAUUCUCAUUUUAAAACGGUUUCGUCUUCAGAUUUCAAAAUCCAAAACUGUUUAGCAAUAAGAAACUUCUCAAAUUAGAACAUGAAAACUCGAACCUGACAAUAUUUUAAGCAAUAAUGUUCUACAUCCAUAUAAAAAAUAUAUUCAAUUUAUCCAAGUAAUAUUGGUCAGAUGCACUCCCUUCCCCCCUCACUUGUUUGUCAUACAUGUGCUACAUAUAAUGUGCUGCAACCUAAAGCUUUGCUCAAUGUAAACCUAGGGCUGCACAUAGAUCGGAAAAUAUCCGCAUAUCCGUGGUAAUUAUCCGCAUCCGAUCCGAAUUUUGCGGAUAUUAUCCGAUCCGUACUAUGGUAGGAUCGGAUAGCGGAUUUGGCAGUGAUACUUGCGGAUCCGAUUCGCAGAUCAGCAUAUUCGCACAUCGUAUAAAUAGCCCAGUUUCAAAUAAGCCCUAAUGUAAUGUGACCUAACUCUAAAUCCCUAAUGUUACGGCGCUCCUCUCUCGUUCUCUGUCUCUGGACUCUCCUCCCAGACUCUGGCUCUCCCUCUCCUCUCUGACCGGCUCUACUUUGCUCCGUCACCGGCGUUCGCUAUCCAUCAUCGGCGUUCACUGUCCAUCACCAUCUCCUAAGUUCGUCAUUUCCUCCAAGCUCCAAUUGCACGGUCGUCGCCUCCUCCAUCAACGCGGUGGACGGCGGUCGCGUUCUCCAUACGCGUUCUCCAUAGGUCGCGUUCUUCAUUGGUGCAGCACUCGCGGUCAGUGGUCUCCUCCAGUGGUGCGGUCACCUCCUCUAGCGGUGAGGUCAUCUCCUCUGGCGGCUUAGUCUUCUCUUCCAUCGGCGGUGGUUGUCUCUCCAAGCGGCUUCAUCAAUCUGUCAGACCAGGCCUUCUUCGACUCCAUCGUCUUUGCUCUUCAACUCAUCUGGUAUUAUAGGUAAUUUAAUUUUAAUUUUAUGAUUAAAUAUUAUUUGUAUACAAAUGCUUAUAGAUUAAAGUACUUGAAUCAUUGUGUUAUACUAUUAUUGUGUAAUAAACUCUGUAAAUUUGAAUGGUUUAUUCAAUUGUAAACAUAUAUGGCACUGAGGGUUUAUAUGGUUUACUUGUUUGGAAAUUAUAAUGGUUUAUUCAAUUGUAAACAAAUUUUUGAAUUAUGCAAAUAUACCCGAUAUCCGAUCUGAUCCGACCUAAAAAAAUCACGGAUACCAUAUAUGAUCCGAUCCCAUGGGAGUAGUGCGGAUCGGAUAGAAUUUUAGCCUAUAUCUGAUCCAAUCCGAUUCGUGUGUGAUAAACCCAAAUAUGUUGAAGGACGUAAAGCCAGAGCAACCAGCUCGGAUACGGAUAAACACCAACGAACGCCAACGAAUAAGGACAAAAGGAAACAGACAACACCCAACCCACCAAGAGGAAUCAUCAACCACAUAUCAGGAGGCUAUGCAGGUGGAGGUCGAACAAUCUCGGCCAGAAAAUGAAGCUACAGAGCAAUGUUAGUAAUCGAAGGAACACUGCAUUCGAAGAAAGAAGAGCACCCAGACGUCACGAUAUCAUUCAAUCAAUCAGACUGUAAGUCGGCAAGCCCUAACCUCGAUGACCCAGUAGUAAUCUCCAUCCAAGUUGGAUAACUGUUGGUAAGAAAAACACUACUGGAUCCAGGUAGUAGCGCUGAUGUUUUAUUUUAUUCUACUUUUAAAAAGAUGAAGUUAUCAGAAAAAAUAAUGCACCCUUCCUCUGGAGAGCUGAUUGGGUUCUCUGGAGAAAGGGUCCCCAUCAUGGGAUACAUAUGGCUGAAGACAACGAUGGGAGAGGUCCCUAUGUCAAAAUCCAUUGAUAUCCAAUAUUUAAUAGUAGACUGUUAUAGCCCUUAUAAUAUUAUCAUCGAAAGACCCGUCUUGAAUAUAUUCAGGGCAGUAGUGUCCACUUUACACCUGUGUGUCAAGUUUUUGGUGCAGGAAAACAGGAUAGCAACAGUAUACGCCGAUCACCAAGAAGCUCGGCAGUGCUACAAUGCCAGUCUAAAGCAAAACCAAACAAAACAGACAGCUCGGCAACAAGUCAAAGCAAUACACAAUACUGCCAAGAUCCUAACGUUAGCCAAGCUCGACCCAAGAGAGGAUCUCAGCGAAAGACCCUAGCCAAUGGACAACCUCCACCGAGUAACACUAACAGCGGAUGAAAAGCAGUACACACACAUCGGAGAAGCACUAGAGGGGGAAGAACGAACAAAACUCAUAGAAAUACUAUGUCAGAACGCUGAUCUAUUUGCAUGGACGCCAGACGACAUGCCUGGAAUAAGUCUAGAAGUCAUUUGCCACAAGUCAGCAAUUGACAAAGCAGUCCGACUAGUGACACAAAAGAAAAGAAACCUCGGAAAAGAGAAAAAACAAGCAGCACUAGAAGAAACCAAGAAACUCCUCAACGCAGGUUUCAUCAGAGAGAUCCGCUUCACCACAUGGCUCUCAAAUGUGGUAAUGGUAAGGAAAAACUCAGGUAAAUGGCGCAUGUGCGUCGACUUUACAAAUUUAAAUAAAGCUUGCCCUAAAGACGCUUACCCAUUACCUUGCAUUGAUAAAUUAGUUGAUAAUGCUUCCGGUUUCAAAAGCUUAAGUUUUAUGGAUGCAUACUCUGGUUACAACCAGAUUCUAAUGCACCCAGAGGACCAAAGCAAAACAGCUUUUAUAACAGAACAUGGAAAUUUUUGUUACAAGGUAAUGCCUUUCGGUUUAAAAAAUGCAGGGGCGACAUAUCAAAGACUAAUGGACAAAGUAUUUCGACAGCAAAUAGGUCGGAAUAUGGAAAUUUAUGUAGAUGAUAUGGUAGCAAAAACGUCUGCACAAGGUUCACAUUGUGACGACUUGUUAGAAGUCUUCAACCAAGUCCGAGCAUACAACAUGAGGCUCAAUCCAGUGGAGUCCAAGGAGGAAAAUUCCUCUGCUUCAUGCUGACUUCACGAGGAAUUGAAGCAAAUCCAGAGAAGUGUGAUGCAAUAUUGAACAUGGCAAGCCCGAAAAUGAAAAAGGAAGUCCAACAACUUGCAGGGAGGGUGGCUGCUUUGUCACAUUUCCUACCUGCAGUAGCCAACCGAUCAUAUCACUUUUUUCAAACAAUCUCUAAAAAUAAGAAAUUUGCAUGGACCGAGGAAUGUGAGAAAUCUUUUGUCGAGCUAAAACAGCUCUUAAUAUCACCCUCAGUACUCCAGAGGCCAGAAACAGGCAAACCAUUACAUUUAUACUUAUCAAUAUAUAACCAUGCUAUAAGUUUUGUUCUAGUUGUUGAAACAGGGAAAACACAAAGGCCAGUAUACUUUGUUAGCAGAGUACUACAGCCAAUGGAGACGAGAUACCCGAAGAUAGAACAGUUGGCACUAGCACUAGUUACCACAACAAGGAGACUAAGGCACUAUUUUCAGAGCUAUACAAUAGUGGUAUGAACUGACCAACCUUUGAGGCAAAUAUUAACCAGACCCGAGCUUGCUGGACGAUUAAUUAAGUGGUUUAUCGAGCUCUCUGAGUUCGAUAUUCAAUACCAAUCAAGAAAAAUAUUAAAGUCUCAAAUACUAGCCGAUUUCAUCUCAGAAAUGACUGUCGAGAUACAAUCUGUAGAGACAAGUUGGAAUCUACACGUAGAUGGAGCAUCAAACCGAGAAGGAAGUGGAGUAGGCUCAGUAAUUAAAAUUAGUUAUUAUGUAUUUAUAUAUUAAUAUAUAUUAUUUAAUUUAUUUUUAAUAUAUAUUUUAUAUUAGUGACUAAUUUAAAUGAUUAAUUAUUUUUCUCUUACUAAUUCAAAUUAUAAAAGUUGAUUUCAUAAAUCUAGUAAUUAAAUUCACACUUAACAAGUAAGAGUGAUAAACUAAAGUUAAGUGGUGGCUUUGGAUUCUUCUGGCGAUUCGUGCUUGCCAGCUUUGCUUUUACUCGGCAGCAACAACAAACAUAUAUAAGCAUCUCAUUCACAUGAACACCCCAUCUAAUAUUUAAUAAUAAAAAUCCAUUUUUGACAAAAAAGGGUUGAUUUCACAGCCAAAUUGGAUUCUGGGUUGGAAGAAUUUCACCAAAAAAGAACAACAAUUGGUUGAUUCAGAUGAUGGAGGAUCGAAGGCUGGUGCUGGUUCUGAUCAGCACCUGCAUUCUCUGUUUCUUGGUCAUUGGCAUUAAUGGUGACACAGAUCCAAAUGAUGGUUAGUGAUGCUGUUCAUUAAUAAUUCAAUCAUGUUCAUUUUUUCUUUUUUCCUUCAAACUUUAUUUUUUCAAUGUGUGUGUUUCUUUUGUACUUGGAUGUGUUAGUUGUAUACAGUGUUUUAGUGAAGAGUACUUCUUGCUAUAAUUGUCUUAUGUUCCAAUUUUCUGUUUUUGCUUUUUUAUUUUUUUAAUUAUUUGAAAUUUAUCUUUAUAGUUCUGCUGAUUUUCCAGUAGAUUAGUUAGAUUUGGAUUUUGGAACAAAGUUUGUAAUUUUUUUUAAAAUUAAUUUAUGAGUUUCUUUUCAUCUGAAUUAAUGUAAAUUCUAUUACCAUGAAUAAAUGUGGGUGUUUAAUUUUCUUCUUUUUUUUUUAGUUAAUGUUUUUACUUUUAUUUUUAAUUAUUGUGUUUAAGCCAUGUUCAAUCUGUUAUGAGUGGUAAUAGUAGGUAGUUGAUAUACAAUUCUUGCUCUCUUCAGUAGGAACAAGGUUGCUAACAAGUGAUCCAAAAUCAAGUACUUUCUGAUGUAAUAAUAGCAUGAUUGGCAUGUUUUUCUCAUGAUUUCCUCUUAUAUGAAUGGGAAUCUUCAUCUUCCAAUUUCAUUCCUUUACUUUUGACUUCAAUGUUUGUUUCUGUGUUAUCAAAACUUUGUUAUCCUGAAUGUUUGAUGCAGCUAAUGCUCUAAGGAGCUUGUAUCAGAAUAUGAACUCACCAUCUCAACUAAAUUGGCCUCAAAAUGGCAAUGAUCCUUGUGGACAGUCUUGGAAAGGCAUUAGUUGCAAGGACAAUCGCGUCACCGAGAUGUGAAGCCUUAAUCUCCUAAAUCCUAAUCACUUUAUACAUGUUUCGAUUAUUACUCUUUUCGGCUCCAAUGUCUGAUAUGUGUGUUGUUGUUUGGUUUUUUCCGAUCAUUUACUUCUUAUCAGCAAGUUACCUGGUCUUCAACUUAGUGGAACUUUGGGUUACCAGCUCGAAAGCUUGACAUCUGUGACUUACUUGUAAGUUAAGCCUCGUUCGGUAACUGUUUCAGGACAUAAAAUACAGAGACACGGAGAAAAUCUGUCUUGUACUGUGUCCUGUGACAAUAUGCAAAUGCAGCCUUAAUGAUCUUGUUCAUUGUAUAUCCAGUUUUGUAUGUAUUGUUACUGUCGUCUUAAAUCAAAAAUCUUUGUAGUGACUUGGGUAACAACAAUCUUGGUGGCAGCUGGUACUAACUCCCUCCAAAUUUGCAGCACCUGUAUGUCUUACACUUCUGUUUAUUUUUGUUUCUCGGACUUUCGGUAGUCGAAUUCUAACAUACUUAAUACUUCUUUGUAUGCAGAAAUCUCGCUAAUAAUAAUUUCAAUGGGCCGAUCCCAUAUUCGAUCUCUCAAAUUACUUCGCUUAAAUACCUGUGUGUAACUAUAUUCUUGAAUUCUUAUAUGUCUUUCAUUGUAUACCUAUAAACCUCCUUGCUAAGCCACUGUAGUAAUCUGCAAAAUUAACAUUGAUUCUGUAGGAAUCUUGGUCACAACCAGUUCCAACAAGGAUUGACUGUUGACUUUUCAAAGCUUACUUCCCUCUCUACACUGUAAGAUUCCCUCAAUUCCAUAUACCUUUCAGCAACAUUGAUGUUAUGACUUCUUUGUUUUUCGUUGUGGAUUCAUUAAAAUUUUGUACUUAAAAAUUUAAUAUUACUUCUGAUUCCAUGCUAAUUCAUAUUCUUUAUUUGUUUCUGCGAAAAGGCUUCAUAUACAUUGGCUAUUUUGUGAUAUUUACAUGCAUAUGAUUCUUGUAAUCUAAAACUUUUGAGUUACUGAUCCAUCAACUAUAAUAUCUGUAAACUGUUGUAGGGAUCUUUCGUCCAAUUCGCUGACAGGGGACCUCCCUCAGACAAUGAGCUCACUUUCGAGCUUGUCAACCUUGUAAGCAUCGAGUUUUGUAUUCUUUCUUUCUUUUUUCUUCAUGUUUGCAUGGUAUUGGUUGCAUUCUAAGUGGACUUAUUUGUCUUUGUUUAGGUAUCUGCAAAACAACCAGUUCACGGGCACCAUCGAUGUUCUUGCUAACCUGCCACUCGACACUUUGUGAGCCUCUUUUAUGUCAUUUGCUGCCAUGGAAAACUUCUUUCCUAUAUUUAUAUAAUAACCUUUCAAGUUCUAAUUAUUUUCUGAAUAUUUCUCUCAGGAAUGUUGAAAACAAUCAUUUUACAGGCUGGAUACCGGAACAGCUGAAUGGCAUAACCCUACAGUGAGUAUUACCAUUAUCUGCAAUUUUUCAAACUAAGAAUAUUUAUUUGUUUAUUUCAUUAUAUAAAUCUUGAAUGAUAAGCCAAGGUUUAAAAUGACAGAAAGGGUGGUAAUUCAUGGAGCUCGGGGCCUGCGCCCCCUCCGCCUCCUGGGACACCUCCAGCAACAACCAGCCGUCACCACAAAUCCGGUGGGCACGGCAGCUCAUCAGGUGGUAGCUCUAGUGAUGGGGGUAAAAAAUCUGGUAUUGGAGCCGGUGGCGUUGCUGGAAUAGUGAUCUCCAUAUUGGUUGUUGGGGCAAUAGUAGCAUUCUUCCUGGUGAAGAGAAGAUCCAAGAAGUUGUCGUCAUUAGACACGGAAAAGCUUGACAAUCAGCCGUUGGCUCCUCUAGCUUCAAAUGAAGUGCACGGUUUGUAUCUUGGUUCUCGCAUACUAUUGAAAAUCCUUUCUUACCUUUUUCCUUUAUGAUUAACUUUAUGCUACUUAUUUCUCAUUUUAAAUAGUUUCACAUUUCAUUCUCUUCUUGAAAUGUGUUUGAUAUAGACCUUACUUUAUAUGCUUAAUUUUACUUGUGGAUUGUGAUAAGUUAGUUAUCUGAAGUAACAUAUUACAACAUUUCAUAAUGCAGGAUUGAAUUCUAUGCAGAGUUCCUCUGUGAUUGACUUGAAAACAUUUGACACUCCUGUGGAACCAAUAAAUGUUAAACCCCCUAUUAAACCCCCACCUCUCAAAUCAUUCGACGAGGAAGAAAUUCCAAAGAAGCCAACUGCUGUCAAGAAGACUGUCGCCGCUCCCGCAAAUGUGAAAGCAUAUUCUAUAGCUGACCUGCAGAUUGCUACUUCAAGCUUCAGUGUGGAUCAACUCCUUG
rnacentral:lncRNA from 1 species